AACGCUGGCGGUGCGCCUUAUGCAUGCAAGUCGAGCGAAGCUUUUCAGUAGUUUACUACAGAAAAUGACUGAGCGGCGAACGGGUGAGUAACGCGUGAGCAAUCUACCUUAGUUACAGGGAUAGCCCGAGGAAACUCGGAUUAAUACCUGAUAUUCUUUACAUUUCGCAUGAAAUCAAAAGGAAAGGUCAGCCGAACUAAGAUGAGCUCGCGUUCUAUCAGCUAGUUGGUGAGGUAAAAGCUCACCAAGGCUACGACGGAUAGCUGGUCUGAGAGGACGAUCAGCCACACUGGGACUGAGACACGGCCCAGACUCCUACGGGAGGCUGCAGCAGGGAAUAUUGCGCAAUGAGCGAAAGCUUGACGCAGCGACACCGCGUGUGGGAUGACGGAUCUAGGUUUGUAAACCACUUUCAGGAGGGAAGAAAAUGACGGUACCUCCACAAGAAGCCCCGGCCAA
rnacentral:rRNA from 1 species